rnacentral:rRNA from 3 species
AAACGACUCUCGGCAACGGAUAUCUCGGCUCUCGCAUCGAUGAAGAACGUAGCGAAAUGCGAUACUUGGUGUGAAUUGCAGAAUCCCGUGAACCAUCGAGUCUUUGAACGCAAGUUGCGCCCAAAGCCUUUUGGCCAAGGGCACGUCUGCUUGGGCGUCACGCAU